rnacentral:rRNA from 1 species
AAGUCUUCGGACGAGUAAAGUGGCGAAACCCUUAGUAACGCGUGACCAUCUGCCCCCGGGACGGGGACAACCAUUGGAAACGAUGGCUAAUACCCGAUACGUGGAGACACGAAACGGCUGGGACCCUACGGGGCCAGCUGCCAGGGGAGGAGGUUGCGUCCUAUCAGCUAGUUGGUGAGGUAAAGGCUCACCAAGGCAACGACGGGUAGCCGGUCUGAGAGGAUGGUCGGCCACACUGGGACUGAGACACUGCCCAGACUCCUACGGGAGGCUGCAGUCGAGAAUCUUCCGCAAUGGACGAAAGUCUGACGGAGCGACGCCGCGUGCAGGAUGAAGGCCUUAGGGUUGUAAACUGCUGUCAGAUUUCAAAGAAGGGGAGUAGGCGAAAGACCUGCUUCUUGACAUUAGGAUCAAAGGAAGCACCGGCUAACUCUGUGCCAGCAGCCGCGGUAAUACAGAGGGUGCAAACGUUGCUCGGAAUCAUUGGGCAUAAAGCGCACGUAGGCGGUUGCGUAAGUGCGGUGUGAAAGCCCCCGGCUCAACCGGGGAAUUGCAUCGCAUACUGCGCGACUAGAGCACGAGAGGGGAGAGCAGAACUCCUGGUGGAGCGGUGGAAUGCGUAGA